GUCUCUAGAGCACUAUUAAGAAACAACAGAUACAGUGCGCUUGGUCAAAAAGGAUGGCCUUCCCCGAAUAGAGACAGUCUUUGGUCUUCAGUUGAAGGUAUACGAGUAGCUGUGCUCCCCUGCUAGAACCUCCAAACAAGCUCUCAGGAAAACAACAGAUAAUCUAUACUCCUAUUAACCUAUACUUAUAAAUCACUAUUUAA
rnacentral:snRNA from 1 species